rnacentral:tRNA from 1 species
GGGCGCAUAGCUCAGCUGGGAGAGCGCCUGCCUUACAAGCAGGAUGUCGGAGGUUCGAGUCCUUCUGCGCCCA